rnacentral:misc_RNA from 1 species
AAGUCGUAACAAGGUUUCCGUAGGUGAACCUGCGGAAGGAUCAUCAAUGAAAAAAUCCAGCCAAAAAACUUGGGCAAAAAAUUCGCCUGGUUGGUAUAUCUCUAAAGUUUACUUUGAGGUAAAAGUUUAGCCUGAAUUUUUCAGGGCAAAUUAAUACUUGGUCAAAUUAUUAUUUUUUUGACAGAGAAAACUUUCAGGCGAAAAAAGUGUGUGCUCACUUUGCCUGAAUUUUAGCUAAAAAGCCAAACAAAAAAAACAACUUUCGGCAACGGAUCUCUCGGCUCUCC